CACUCCUACGGGAGGCAGCAGUGGGGAAUUUUGGACAAUGGGCGAAAGCCUGAUCCAGCACUGCCGCGUGAGUGAAGAAGGCCUUCGGGUUGUAAAGCUCUUUUGUCAGGGAAGAAACGGUGAGAGCUAAUAUCUUUUGCUAAUGACGGUACCUGAAGAAUAAGCACCGGCUAACUACGUGCCAGCAGCCGCGGUAAUACGUAGGGUGCAAGCGUUAAUCGGAAUUACUGGGCGUAAAGCGUGCGCAGGCGGUUUUGUAAGUCUGAUGUGAAAUCCCCGGGCUCAACCUGGGAAUUGCAUUGGGGACUGCAAGGCUAGAAUCUGGCAGAGGGGGGUAGAAUUCCACGUGUAGCAGUGAAAUGCGUAGAUAUGUGGAGGAACACCGAUGGCGAAGGCAGCCCCCUGGGUCAAGAUUGACGCUCAUGCACGAAAGCGUGGGGAGCAAACAGGAUUAGAAACCCUGGUAGUCCCAUG
rnacentral:rRNA from 1 species